rnacentral:rRNA from 1 species
CCUACGGGCGGCAGCAGUGAGGAAUAUUGGUCAAUGGACGAGAGUCUGAACCAGCCAAGUAGCGUGAAGGAUGACUGCCCUAUGGGUUGUAAACUUCUUUUAUAUGGGAAUAAAACGUUCCACGUGUGGGAUUUUGUAUGUACCAUAUGAAUAAGGAUCGGCUAACUCCGUGCCAGCAGCCGCGGUAAUACGGAGGAUCCGAGCGUUAUCCGGAUUUAUUGGGUUUAAAGGGAGCGUAGGUGGAUUGUUAAGUCAGUUGUGAAAGUUUGCGGCUCAACCGUAAAAUUGCAGUUGAAACUGGCAGUCUUGAGUACAGUAGAGGUGGGCGGAAUUCGUGGUGUAGCGGUGAAAUGCUUAGAUAUCACGAAGAACUCCGAUUGCGAAGGCAGUUCACUGGACUGCAACUGACACUGAGGCUCGAAAGUGUGGGUAUCAAACAGGAGUAGAUACCCUUGUAGUC